rnacentral:tRNA from 1 species
GGCGAGGUAGUCAAAUGGUAUACGAUAUUGGGCUUUCAACCCGAUGGUGGUGGGUUCAAUUCCCCCUCUCGUCA